rnacentral:rRNA from 1 species
CCUCGGGCGGCAGCAGUGGGGAAUAUUGGACAAUGGGCGAAAGCCUGAUCCAGCCAUGCCGCGUGUGUGAAGAAGGCCUUCGGGUUGUAAAGCACUUUCAGUGGGGAAGAAAGCCUUGGGGCUAAUACCCUCGAGGAAGGACAUCACCCACAGAAGAAGCACCGGCUAACUCCGUGCCAGCAGCCGCGGUAAUACGGAGGGUGCGAGCGUUAAUCGGAAUUACUGGGCGUAAAGCGCGCGUAGGCGGUCUGAUAAGCCGGUUGUGAAAGCCCCGGGCUCAACCUGGGAACGGCAUCCGGAACUGUCAGGCUAGAGUGCAGGAGAGGAAGGUAGAAUUCCCGGUGUAGCGGUGAAAUGCGUAGAGAUCGGGAGGAAUACCAGUGGCGAAGGCGGCCUUCUGGACUGACACUGACGCUGAGGUGCGAAAGCGUGGGUAGCAAACAGGAUUAGAUACCCUAGGUAGUC